AACCAAAGAAGAUGACAAAGAACGAUAAAAGAAGAUAAAAUCCUAAAUGAAUUAGGGGUAAGCUAAGCAGGAACUAUAUCAUACAAAUCAAGGAUGUUGGCAAAAAAAGGGUGGAGAGGAAAUCAGAGCUCCAAGCGAAGAAACUCCUUAUAGACGGCAAUAUAGCCAUCAGGAAGAUGGACAAUCCGACUUUCUUCAUCAGGCCCUAUC
rnacentral:lncRNA from 1 species